UCAUCUCCAUUUCGAUCAUCCGACCGCGUUGAUCAAUUGAUCAAACGCGUUGAUCAUUCAAUGUGUUGACAUUCUGGAAACGUGUUGACACAGUUUGCUUAGUCUUGAAAUAACUUACUAAGUUCCAUUGCUUGUUUGUUCGACAGAUUUCAGGUAUUGACGUCGCUGAUCGGUAAUCCGCUGUGUGGGCACCGCCAUUGCACGACGGCGCCUCCAUUGAAUCUGGACGGCAAUUUACGCCCCAAACCACGCAUUUCGCCCGGGACACCCAAACCGACGGACCGGCUGGUGUUUCCGGCACCAGAACCUCCACAAGUUGCGAAGCUUGAAACCGUUUUACAUCCCCGGAAUCCAUUGGACGAUGGAAGAAGAUGCUACCGAAGGGUGCGAAUUCACGUCGCCGAUUGGUACACAGCAGGUCGACGUAAACGCCAUACUUUGCCACGUACACGACGCGCCCGUAACGCAUCCGCUGAUCUCUUCCCAGAACCCACAUGGCGUUAGCGCGAUGCAUUUUUCAAGAUGAUGAUCUUCCGAACCCGUACCUUGCAAGUUAGAAGCCCUUAAGUGCCACUUUUGAUUUAUGUUCUUUACUGACUGACAAUGCUGAAAAGUAAUGCAAGCUAAGAGCUUGCCAAAACAGAAACAGCUUCCAUUGGCCAUCGCGUAAUUAGGCUCAAAGGUGGGUGGUGUCCCAAGCACACCUUUGGUUACCGUUUACACGCGAAAACUGGAUGUUAUAAUCCUCUGAUUGGAAACGUACCACCAUUGCUGCUUUUCUGUUGUUCUUUUUCCUAUACUUUUUUGG